rnacentral:lncRNA from 1 species
GUGAUCUGUAGGUUCCACAUCCACAGAAUGAACCAAUUGCAGAUGGAAAAUAUUUGUGAAAAAAAAAAAUCCAAAAAGUUCCAAAAAGCAAAACUUGAAUUUACAGUGUGUCAAGUACCAUAUUGUAUCUGUGCCAAUGAAGUGAUAUGUAGGUAAAGUAUUUAUAAGGAAUACAGAGAUGACAGAGGGCAUGGGAGGAUGCACAUAGUUAUAUAUCAAUAUUGUACCAUUUUAUGUAAAAGACUUGAACAUCUGUGGAUUUGAAUAUCCACAGUGGGUGUGGAAGUCCCAGAUUCCCAGUAUUUCCUGCAGAUACUGAGGGACAGCUAUACGUCUCUGUCUACAUUAAGCAUCAUGAGUUCAUAUUGAUACCUCUCAUUUCAGCCUAACACUGUGGGAUUUAUUUUAGUCUUUCCUCUGACGUAUUUGUAAUUCCCUUCUGCAAGAAGAAGAAAUCUGGCUUCUCUUAUCCUCAACGUAUUGACUUAUUUGUUUCAACCCUAUGUACUACUAAUUUCCCGGCUUGUGGGUACUGCUAGCCACCCCAGCCACACUGGUGGAGCCCUCACCCUGACCCCACCGUGCACACAGUGGGCCAGCUGGAAGGCUUGGCUCUGCCAAAUACACUGACCAUGCUGGCCAAACCUUUGACUUUUUAAACUUAGAUGAAUUAUAAGCAAAAAGUUGAGACAAAGUAUUUCCUGAAAUUUGAAAACAAGGAUAUUAAAAUUUUUAGUUAUUCAGUCACUUUGUCUGGGUUCUGUUCUUAUUCAC